AGCGAACGCUGGCGGCAGGCCUAACACAUGCAAGUCGAACGGUCUCUUCGGAGGCAGUGGCGGACGGGUGAGUAACGCGUGGGAACGUGCCCUUUGGUUCGGAACAACACAGGGAAACUUGUGCUAAUACCGGAUGAGCCCUUCGGGGGAAAGAUUUAUCGCCAUUGGAGCGGCCCGCGUUGGAUUAGGUAGUUGGUGGGGUAAAAGCCUACCAAGCCUACGAUCCAUAGCUGGUCUGAGAGGAUGAUCAGCCGCACUGGGACUGAGACACGGCCCAGACUCCUACGGGAGGCAGCAGUGGGAAAUCUUGCGCAAUGGGCGAAAGCCUGACGCAGCCAUGCCGCGUGUAUGAUGAAGGUCUUAGGAUUGUAAAAUACUUUCACCGGGGAAGAUAAUGACGGUACCCGGAGAAGAAGCCCCGGCUAACUUCGUGCCAGCAGCCGCCGUAA
rnacentral:rRNA from 1 species